rnacentral:rRNA from 1 species
AACGAACGCUGGCGGCGUGCUUAACACAUGCAAGUCGAACGGAAAGACCCUGCUUGUGUGGGGUUCUCGAGUGGCAAACGGGAGAGUAACACGGGAAUAACCUUGGCUGUGCGUUGGUAUGACUGCAGGAAACUGGUGCUACUACCUAAUAGGAGCUCCUGCAGCAGGGGGGGGUUUGGAAAUUUUAGGCGGAUGUGGAUGUACGCGCGGCUUAUCAGCUUGUGGGUUGGGUAGUUGCUUACCAAGGCAUUGGCGGGUAGCCGGCCUGAGAGGUUGACCAGCGACCUGGGGCCUGAGGUAGGGCACAGACUCGUAUGUGAGGCAGCAGUGGGGAACAUUGUCCAACGAUCGCACGUGUGAUGAAGCAAUGUCGCGUGCGGGAAGCCGUUUUUCGGGUUGUAAACCGCUUUAGGUUGUGACGAAGCGUGUGUGACGUUACUGGGAAAAGAAGCACCGGCUAACUACGUG